GAAUAAGGCAUUCUGUGAGUCCACAGAUGGUAGUCUUGGCAGAAGCAUUGUGUGCAAGAUAGGCAAACCCAUAUCUGGAGUAAGUGUCUAUUCCAGUGUGGACAAACCUCUGCCCUUUUCUUAAUGGAAGAGGUCCAAUAUAAUCAACCUGCCACCAGGUAGCUGGCUGAUUACUCUGAGGAUUGGUGCCAUAUCGAGGGCUCAGUGUUGGUUUCUGCUGCUGGCAAAUUGGGCACUCAGCAGUGGCCAUAGCCAGGUCAGUCUUGAUGAGUGAAAGUCCAUGUUGCUGAGUCCAUGGGUAACCUCCAUCCCUGCCACCGUGGACACUUUGUUCAUGGGCCUAUUGAUUGAUGACAGGGGUGGCUGGGGAAAGGCUGAGUGGGGUCCACAGAACUUGCCACCCUAUCCUCUUGAUUAUUAAAAUCCUCCUCUGCUGAGGGCCCCGGUUGGUUAGCACUCACAUGGGAUAAAAUGUCUUCAGUUUUUGACCACUGAGAGAAUUCCAUCCACACACCUCUUCCCCAAAUUUCUUUGUCAUCAAUUUUCCAAUCAUGCUUCUUCCAAGUCCCCAAAUUCCCGGCUAAAUCGUUAGUCACAGUCCACAAAUCAGUAUAUAAUUGCACAUCUGACCAUUUCUCCUUCUAUGCAAAGUGCACAGCCUGGUGCACUGCUCGAAGUUCUGCCCACUGGGAAGACUUCCCUUCACGGCUUCAGAGAUGUCCUAGAAAGGAGCUGCAGUGCUGCAGCUGUCCACUUUUGGGUAGUGCCUGCAUACUGUUUGUGAACCCAGGCCUUAGUCUUCUCUUCCUCUGUCAAUUGAUCAUAGGGAACUCUCCAUGAGGCCAUCGGUGCAGGCUCGGGGAGAGAAGGCAGGGUGGCAGGAGUGAGACCACGGACAUUUGAGCCACUUCCUCAUGUAAUCUACUUGUGCCCUCGAGACCUGCUCGUGUCCUGUCACAUAUAUACCACUUCCAUUUGAUGAUGGAAUGCUGCUGUGCAUGACCCACUUUAUGGCUAGAUGGGUUAGAAAGCACCCAGUUUAUGACGGGCAGUUCAGGUUCCACAAUGACUUGAUAAUCCACAGUCAAACAUUCAGUUUCCUUGAAAGCCCAGUAACAAGCCAAGAACUGUCUCUCCAAAGGAGAAUAGUAUCUGCAGAAGAUGGCAGGGCCUUGCUCCAAAAUCCUAGAGGCCUCUGCUGUGAUUCACCUAUGGGGGCCUGCCAAAGCCUCCAAACAGCAACCCUAUCUGCCACUGACACCUCAAGCACCAUUAGAUCUGCUGGGUCAUAUGGCCCAAGUGGCAGAGCCGCUUGCACAGCAGCCUGGACCUGUUGCAGAGCCUUCUCUUGUCUUGGACCCCACUCAAAACUGUCAACCUUUUGGGUCACUUGAUAAAUGGGCCAGAUUAACAAACCCAAAUGAGAAAUGUAUUGCCUCCAAAAUCCAAAUUGUACCACUAGGCAUUAUACCUUUGUCUUGGUUGUGGGAGGGGCCAAGUACAGGAACUUAUCCUUCACCUUAGAAGGAAUAUCUCCACAGGCUCUACACCACUGGAGCCCUAGAAAUUUUACUGAGGGCUGGGCACAGCGGCUCAUGCCUGUAUUCCCAGCACUUUGGGAGACUGAAGUGGACAGAUCACCUGAGGUCAGGAGUUGGAGACCAGCCUGGGCAACAUGGUGAAACCCUGUCUCUACUAAAAUUACAAAAGUUAGCCAGGCUUGGUGGUGUGCACCUGUAAUCUUAGCUACUCAGGAGGCUGAGGCAAGAGAAUCACUUGAAUCCAGGAGGCAGCAGUUGCAGUGAGCCAAGAUCAUGCCACUGCACUCUAGCCUGGGUGAUGGAGUGAAACUCUAUCUCAAAAAAAAAAAAAAAAAAAAA
rnacentral:lncRNA from 1 species